rnacentral:rRNA from 1 species
UGGGAUGACGUCAAAUCAUCAUGCCCCGUUAUGUUCUGGGCUACACACGUGCUACAAUGGCCGGUACAGACGGACGCAAAGCCGCGAGGUGGAGCAAAUCCUAAAAAGACCGGUCUCAGUUCGGAUUGCAGGCUGCAAUUCGCCUGCAUGAAGUCGGAAUCGCUAGUAAUCGCAGGUCAGCAUACUGCGGUGAAUACGUUCCCGGGCCUU